GAAUUAGAUUUAUUUGAAGAGGGGUCACUUGCAAAUUUAACUGCUUCUAUUAUAGGUAAUGUUUUUGGGUUUAAAGCUGUUA
rnacentral:tRNA from 1 species